UUACAUCACUGAAAGAAGUCAG
rnacentral:misc_RNA from 1 species